rnacentral:snRNA from 1 species
AUCCUGGUGCACGGGUUUUACACGUAUCAGUGAGGAGAAAUCCGAGAUCGUGUGUUUGCUAGUUGAAAACUACCAAUUGACUACUUCAAGUAGGCCUUCGGGUCCGCUUGGGAAUUUUUGAAACCUUCCUUGAAG